AGGUUUGGCGACGGCCAAGGGCUCGCAGAUCCAUGGGCGCCAUCGUCCGACCUCGACCUCUGAGUGUGCUCCCGCCAUGGCCUCCUCGAGACGCCGCCCUUCCCCCUGCUCCAACCCUAACCAUAGCAUUGCUGCUGCUGGUCAAGGUGCACGCACGUGUCCAGCAGCGACCCUUAGCCUCGGACGGCAGCAGCGGCCAUCACCAAUGACGGCAGCGACAGGGGGUGAAUUGGUUCUGCAGGUUUGUUGCUGUCAUCGUUUCUUCUGUUCCUUCACCGUUUUGGUCGUCCUGUCGUGUGUUGCUGCUUCAAGAGACUGCAUCGUUCAUGCUUCUGGUUGGCUUCUUCCUUUGACGUUAGUUUACUGCUGGUCGCACUCCUAAUGACCUAACAGACAUGCAUCCAUGGUGACUUUGUGAUCUUAAGCAUGUCGAAAAACAUGACAAAAGACAUCCAAUAGCAAGCAAAUUAGUGAAAUAUUUAACCAGCGCAGGGAGCUUACAAGGGCAUGCAGAGAGUUUAUCAGAUGCAUCAGUCAGAUAUUUCAGUUCAGCAUCGUCUUCUCAGACUAACUCAACUGACGAAAAUGGGUUUUCAUUCGAUAUAUUUAGAAGCCACAACUGACUUUGAAAGCAUGGCCAUUCCAGGAUUAAGGGGCAUGGCAUGUUGGCACCAUUCACAGCUGGAUGUCAGAGCAAUGAUGUGCAUCUGCUGGUUAUUGGGAGAUCUGAGGGUUCUUAUGUUUAUGACAUCAACAGAAUAAGUAUCUAGAUUCUCUAGCAGGACUGUGGAGUACAAAUUUAGGUGGUAGUGAGCCUCGAUUAGUCAAAGCUGCAACUGACCAAUUAAACAAGUUACCCUUCUAUCACUCCUUCUGGAACCGUACAACCAAACCAACAUUGGGGGGUGGAUCUCAAGGGGAGAGGUGCUGUCCUCCAGAGCUGUUGGAUCCUAAAAUAAAGCUCGCCUCCGCGCAUGAGGAAGGCAAUGCCAUUAUGCCUAGGCUACCACGGAGCCGAACAAGGAUGUUGUUCAGCCUGUCACCUAACACCAUCAAGGAGGAGGAGCGUGGCCGAAAGACGGCGGCCAGUCCGACCAUGUGCUCACUUCACCCCCUUCUCCCUUCCAAUUUUGGAUUUGAUCUGGACGCCGCCGUCGCCGUGGUUGCCUCGCCGUCGUGGCUCAGAAGUAAAUUCUAGCACAGAAGCCAUAUUGCAGAUUGAAGAGUUUCAGGUUGACAAGGUAAUAAUAUUGUCAGUGUGUUCAUGUUUAUGGUUAGAUUUAUAUCAUGGUAUUUCUCAGAGCAAUAUUUUAGGGUCAUAUGGCAGUCACACACUGAUUUAAACCGAGCAUUAAUAUGCAAUAAGAAUGGCCUAUUACCUGGUUGAGAUGUACAAUAUGAAAAGUAUCCAUUAUAAUUAAGGGUUUAGAAUCUGCUACUCCUUGGUUUGUUGUGGAUCCAUGAUGUUUUAGUGUGGUUCAUAUAGAUGGACAACUGUAGUUGCAUUGUGGUUGGUGGGGAAAAUAAUAAUAGCUGCAUUUCAUUUCUCUAUUUGCUUUGACGUAAAUAGUAAGAGAGGGUUCUGAACCAAACGAUCAGUUCCUCAAUUCUGCACUUCGUCAUGAGAAGCAGAGCUCCCUUGUGCCACUCUCUCUACAAAGGUGAUGCUUGCUCCCAUUCAUGGUUUGGUUUGCAAAAUUAGUUGGAGUUGUGAUUCACUAGCAGUUCUUAAAAUAUAUGUGCUUUCAUUAAGAAGAAUAAGCUACCAUGCUAGAUUAGUUGAUCCAGGGCUUAAGUUCCGAUCUCAAAGUUUUUUAUUGCAUCAGUUUAACUUUCAUGUAGUUUUGUGUAUUACUUUAUUAUAUGUAGAAGAAAUAAUAAUAAGAUUGAUCCCUUCACUUUUUCUGCGGAAAAUGUACUCUGCAAGCUUAUCAAAUCUGGGUACUGUUGUAGAAGUGCAACACCAUACAUCAGUGAGCUCCCUAAUUUGGCUAGAACAGAGGGCUACUGUUCUUACUCAUUUACUACUGUUUUGGCACCUUACUGUGUUUCAAAUUGGUAUUCCAUUACGUUUUGCCACCCGCUUCUGCAAGAAAGAAUGCUUAUAAUAAAUUUCAUGAUGUAACUUCAUAUGAUUUCCAAUUAACAAAUUCCAACUAUUUUGGCACUCCAAAUAGAUAAAAGGAAGUCUACCUGCUAUUUUAAGAUUCAUAUAUCAGGCACAUACAUAAUGUAUCAUCCCUUAUGACUCUGAAGCAAUUCAGGUGUUAAUCUAAGUAUUUCAUACCUCUGUUUAUUGAGUAGUUUAUGUCUUAUGCAUGAUUAGUGGGUUAUCUACUACACACUUUUUAUUUUAAAUGUUAGCAAGGUAACCAGAACUAUGAUUACAGCGACCAAGUGAUAUUAUAAAUCCUUUUAGUAUCUUUUUCAUUGCUGACGUGUUCUUCCAAUAAUCUUGGUGCCCACUAUUCUUCUUGGAUGUACGAUUCCGAUAUAGCAAUUGCAAUAGUCCUCCCAGUUCACUCUUCUGAAUUGUGGCAUGCUGAUUUUUUAUUAUCCAAAAAGUUAGCAGUUCACAUGUUUACUCAUGGACAACUAUAUGAUGUUCUGUCUCAUGUGCAUUAAGAGAAUUGCUAAAAAUACUUACUGAAGAUAAAGUUGUAGAAUGCACUAUUGAAACACAGAAUAACGUUUACCCUUAGGGGUAUGCCUCUGCUGGGGCCUUUUGAGAUAUCUAUGUACCAUCAUGGUCUUAUAUUUUGCAGUGUGGUGCCCUUUUUGUUUGUUUUGGGUUCAGCUGCCUUCGUCUGUGCAUAUCCUUUUGGUAUAAUCAUAAAACGAGAUAGUCAAUUUCUUCUUCUUGGAAUAGUGCUUUCGCUCGAAAUAAUGAAUGAUUUCGUGUAGGGAGAGGGGGCGUAUAUCCAUACACUACCCGCAUCAUGCUAAUUGCAUGUAUUCUGUCUCUCUUUCAUAUAUCUGUUGGUAGUUUUUCUUUUCGAGGUUGCUUUGUCCUCUCCUGAUUAUUCUUUUCCUGGUGAUUAAUUUCUAACUAUUUGUUGUAGAUGGCAUUCAAUGCACUAUUCUUUUGAUGCGUCGGCUUGAAACACAUUAUGAUAUACAUUUAACUGUAGAUGGCAUGCCGCGCAUUAUGAUAUACAUUCAACUCAGUUGCAGAUAUCAUGCAAGCGACAAAACACAUUAUGAUAUACAUUCGAUUUGCUUACUCCACAGUUGCGCAAAAAUUUCCUUGGUUCUAGGUUCUGAAUACGUGUUAAUCCAGCAUCUGUUUUGACCCUGUAGAUGAAUUUAUCCCCAGAUGUUUAUACAGGGAAUGAGGCAUACCAUUGAUAGUUUGAAUCAAACCAGUAGAGGACGCCACCGUCGAUUAUGGUGUCGAGCAACGGAACUGCAGUGAUCUGGUAGUGUGACUGUUGACCUCCUUGACACCAUUCACGUUCGUCGCUCUGAACCCACUCAGCAGACAAGUUGGCAUAGACAUGUUUACAUCAGCAAUCUUUUCUUUGAGAUAUCUGGUGGCCUUUCGUAAUCAUCGAAUUCAAGUCAUCUUUGAGUACACGACAUCUUCUGAAGUUCGUGCCAUCAUGCUUUAGUUUCUCACAUGGGCUGAGAUUAUUCAAAUAAAAAGACGGUCUCAGGCACAAGAGCAUGAUGUGCUUGCGCCAGUUGCUUUCACACCAAGGCCACGUGGUUGAUCAUCUAAGCGCACCUAUGAAGUUGACCGACAAGGCAGUUGGACAGAGCUACUAAUUAGUAUGCCUAAUAGCUGUUGCUUUGUAGUUUGACCGCCUCUACCAUCAGUAUGCCUGGCUUUUGCUUUCUUAUUAUGUUCCUGCUAUUAGUACUUCCUCUCUCGUGUUCGUGCUCUUAUUUUUGAACUUAAUGUUGUAUUUAUUAGGUUUUGUGGUCUAAUGAACUAACUGAGUGUUUAUAAUUUCAUGAUGAUGUUGAACUCGAUAAUAUCUUGCUUCUUACUAAAUGAUCA